rnacentral:tRNA from 2 species
GGCCUGGUGGCUCAGUUGGUUAGAGCGCCGCCCUGUCACGGCGGAGGUCGCGGGUUCGAGCCCCGCUCAGGUCG